rnacentral:rRNA from 1 species
CCUGACUGCUAUCGGAUUGAUACUAAGCCAUGCGAGUCUUUGUAGUAAUACAAGGCAGACGGCUCAGUAACGCGUAGUCAACCUACCCUAUGGACGGGAAUAAUCUCGGGAAACUGAGCAUAAUACCCGGCGUACCACCAUUCCUGGAAUGGUUGGUGGUUAAAAUGAUUCGUCGCCGUAGGAUGGGACUGCGACCUAUCAGCUUGUUGGUGAGGUAAAGGCCCACCAAGGCGAUUACAGGUACGGGCUCUGAGAGGAGAAGCCCGGAGAUGGGUACUGAGACACGGACCCAGGCCCUAUGGGGCGCAGCAGGCGAGAAAACUUUGCAAUGUGCGAAAGCACGACAAGGUUAAUCCGAGUGAUUUCUGCUAAAGGAAUCUUUUGCCAGUUCUAAAAAUACUAGUGAAUAAGGGGUGGGCAAGUUCUGGUGUCAGCCGCCGCGGUAAAACCAGCACCUCAAGUGGUCAGGAGGAUUAUUGGGCCUAAAGCAUCCGUAGCCUGCUCUGUAAGUUUUCGGUUAAAUCUAUAUGCUCAACGUAUAGGCUGCCGAAAAUACUGCAGUGCUAGGAAGUGGGAGAGGUAGACGGUACUUGAUAGGAAGGGGUAAAAUCCUUUGAUCUAUCGAUGACCACCUGUGGCGAAGGCGGUCUACCAGAACACGUUCGACGGUGAGGGAUGAAAGCUGGGGGAGCAAACCGGAUUAGAUACCCGGGUAGUCCCAGCUGUAAACGAUGCAGACUCGAUGAUGCAUUGGCAUAUAGCCAGUGCAGUGUCGCAGGGAAGCCGUUAAGUCUGCCGCCUGGGAAGUACGUACGCAAGUAUGAAACUUAAAGGAAUUGGCGGGGGAGCACCACCAAGGGGUGAAGCCUGCGGUUC